rnacentral:rRNA from 1 species
GGAUUAGUGGCGAACGGGUGAGUAACACGUGAGUAACCUGCCCUUGACUCUGGGAUAAGCCUGGGAAACUGGGUCUAAUACCGGAUAUGACCUUCCAUCGCAUGGUGGUUGGUGGAAAGCUUUUGUGGUUUUGGAUGGACUCGCGGCCUAUCAGCUUGUUGGUGGGGUAAUGGCCUACCAAGGCGACGACGGGUAGCCGGCCUGAGAGGGUGACCGGCCACACUGGGACUGAGACACGGCCCAGACUCCUACGGGAGGCAGCAGUGGGGAAUAUUGCACAAUGGGCGCAAGCCUGAUGCAGCGACGCCGCGUGAGGGAUGACGGCCUUCGGGUUGUAAACCUCUUUCAGUAGGGAAGAAGCCGCAAGGUGACGGUACCUGCAGAAGAAGCGCCGGCUAACUACGUGCCAGCAGCCGCGGUAAUACGUAGGGCGCAAGCGUUAUCCGGAAUUAUUGGGCGUAAAGAGCUCGUAGGCGGUUUGUCGCGUCUGCCGUGAAAGUCCGGGGCUCAACUCCGGAUCUGCGGUGGGUACGGGCAGACUAGAGUGAUGUAGGGGAGACUGGAAUUCCUGGUGUAGCGGUGAAAUGCGCAGAUAUCAGGAGGAACACCGAUGGCGAAGGCAGGUCUCUGGGCAUUAACUGACGCUGAGGAGCGAAAGCAUGGGGAGCGAACAGGAUUAGAUACCCUGGUAGUCCAUGCCGUAAACGUUGGGCACUAGGUGUGGGGGACAUUCCACGUUUUCCGCGCCGUAGCUAACGCAUUAAGUGCCCCGCCUGGGGAGUACGGCCGCAAGGCUAAAACUCAAAGGAAUUGACGGGGGCCCGCACAAGCGGCGGAGCAUGCGGAUUAAUUCGAUGCAACGCGAAGAACCUUACCAAGGCUUGACAUGAACCGGAAAGAUCUGGAAACAGGUCCCCCACUUGUGGUCGGUUUACAGGUGGUGCAUGGUUGUCGUCAGCUCGUGUCGUGAGAUGUUGGGUUAAGUCCCGCAACGAGCGCAACCCUCGUUCUAUGUUGCCAGCACGUGAUGGUGGGGACUCAUAGGAGACUGCCGGGGUCAACUCGGAGGAAGGUGGGGACGACGUCAAAUCAUCAUGCCCCUUAUGUCUUGGGCUUCACGCAUGCUACAAUGGCCGGUACAAAGGGUUGCGAUACUGUGAGGUGGAGCUAAUCCCAAAAAGCCGGUCUCAGUUCGGAUUGGGGUCUGCAACUCGACCCCAUGAAGUCGGAGUCGCUAGUAAUCGCAGAUCAGCAACGCUGCGGUGAAUACGUUCCCGGGCCUUGUACACACCGCCCGUCAAGUCACGAAAGUUGGUA